CUACGGGAGGCAGCAGUGGGAAUAUUGGACAAUGGGGGCAACCCUGAUCCAGCCAUGCCGCGUGUGGAAGAAGGCCUUUUGGUUGUAAAGCACUUUAAGCGAGGAGGAGGAGCUCUAGAUUAAUACUCUAGAUGCUUGGACGUUACUCGCAGAAUAAGCACCGGCUAACUCUGUGCCAGCAGCCGCGGUAAUACAGAGGGUGCGAGCGUUAAUCGGAUUUACUGGGCGUAAAGCGUACGUAGGCGGCUUUUUAAGUCGGAUGUGAAAUCCCUGAGCUUAACUUAGGAAUUGCAUUCGAUACUGGGAAGCUAGAGUAUGGGAGAGGAUGGUAGAAUUCCAGGUGUAGCGGUGAAAUGCGUAGAGAUCUGGAGGAAUACCGAUGGCGAAGGCAGCCAUCUGGCCUAAUACUGACGCUGAGGUACGAAAGCAUGGGGAGCAAACAGGAUUAGAUACCCUGGUAGUCCAUGCCGUAAACGAUGUCUACUAGCCGUUGGGGCCUUUGAGGCUUUAGUGGCGCAGCUAACGCGAUAAGUAGACCGCCUGGGGAGUACGGUCGCAAGACUAAAACUCAAAUGAAUUGACGGGGGCCCGCACAAGCGGUGGAGCAUGUGGUUUAAUUCGAUGCAACGCGAAGAACCUUACCUGGUCUUGACAUAGUAAGAACUUUCCAGAGAUGGAUUGGUGCCUUCGGGAACUUACAUACAGGUGCUGCAUGGCUGUCGUCAGCUCGUGUCGUGAGAUGUUGGGUUAAGUCCCGCAACGAGCGCAACCCUUUUCCUUAUUUGCCAGCGGGUUAAGCCGGGAACUUUAAGGAUACUGCCAGUGACAAACUGGAGGAAGGCGGGGACGACGUCAAGUCAUCAUGGCCCUUACGACCAGGGCUACACACGUGCUACAAUGGUCGGUACAAAGGGUUGCUACUCCGCGAGGAGAUGCUAAUCUCAAAAAGCCGAUCGUAGUCCGGAUCGCAGUCUGCAACUCGACUGCGUGAAGUCGGAAUCGCUAGUAAUCGCGGAUCAGAAUGCCGCGGUGAAUACGUUCCCGGGCCUUGUACACACCGCCCGUCACACCAUGGGAGUUUGUUGCACCAGAAGUAGGUAGUCUAACCGUAAGGAGGACGCUUAC
rnacentral:rRNA from 1 species